CGCCUCCCGCUGCCGCCGCCGCAGCCGCUGCCGCUGCCGCCGACGCCGCCGCUGCUGCCGCCGCUUUCUGCGGCCUGGGCCUCCCGCCGCCAGCAUGCCGCAUGCCUUCAAGCCCGGGGACUUGGUGUUCGCCAAGAUGAAGGGCUACCCGCACUGGCCGGCCCGGAUCGAUGACAUCGCUGACGGUGCCGUGAAGCCCCCGCCCAACAAGUACCCCAUUUUCUUCUUUGGUACACACGAAACAGCCUUCCUGGGACCCAAGGACUUGUUUCCUUACGACAAAUGUAAAGAUAAGUACGGGAAACCCAACAAGAGGAAAGGCUUCAAUGAGGGAUUGUGGGAGAUCCAGAACAAUCCCCACGCCAGCUACAGUGCUCCUCUGCCGGUGAGCUCCUCUGACAGCGAGGCCCCUGAAGCCGACCCGGCGGGCGAGAGCGAGGACGACGAGGUCCGGGGGGUCAUGGCCGUCACAGCCGUGACCGCCACAGCGGCCAGCGAUAGGAUGGAGAGUGACUCAGACUCAGACAAAAGCAGCGACAACAGUGGCCUGAAGCGGAAGGCGGCAGCCCUGAAGAUGUCGGUCUCAAAACGAACUCGAAAGGCCUCCAGUGACCUGGAUCAAGCUAGUGUGUCUCCAUCAGAGGACGAGAAUUCAGAAAGCUCAUCUGAGUCAGAGAAGACCAGUGACCAGGACUUCACCCCCGAGAAGAAAGCUGUGGUCCGGGCGCCUCGGCGGGGCCCCCUUGCGGGACGGAAGAAAAAGAAGGCGCCCUCAGCCUCCGACUCCGACUCCAAAGCAGAAUCCGAUGGGGCCAAGGGCGAGCCAGUGGCUGUGACCCCGUCAGCGCCGUCCUCCUCCUCAUCCUCGUCCUCUUCCUCUUCCGACUCGGACGUGUCUGUAAAGAAACCUCCUCGGGGCAGGAAGCCAGUGGAGAAGCUGCCGCCAAAGCCCCGCGGGCGGAAGCCGAAGCCCGAGCGGCCCCCGACCAGCUCGAGCAGUGACAGCGACAGCGACGAAGUGGACCGCAUCAGCGAGUGGAAGCGCCGGGACGAGGAGCGGCGGCGCGAGCUGGAGGCCAGGCGGCGCCGGGAGCAGGAGGACGAGCUGCGGCGGCUCCGCGAGCAGGAGAAGGAGGAGAAGGAGCGGAGGCGCGAGCGCGAGCGCGGGGAGGCCCCGGCCGGGGGCAGUGGGGGCAGCAGCGGGGAUGAGCUCGGCGAUGAGGAUGAGCCCGUCAGGAAGCGAGGCCGCAAGGGCCGGGGGCGGGGACCACAGUCCUCCUCUGACUCGGGGCCCGAGGCUGAGCUGCAGAGAGAGGCAAAGAAGGCAGCGAGACAGUCACAAGGCACAGAGCCCGCGAGGAGAGCCAGCCAGAAGGAGAAGAGAGGGCGCCCCGAGGAGAGGCCCCGAGCCAGGCCUACGAAGGUGGAGCGAACCCGGAAGCGGUCAGAAGGCUUCCCGCCCGACCGGAAGGUGGAGAAGAAGAAAGAACCUUCCGUGGAGGAGAAGCUGCAGAAGCUGCACAGCGAGAUCAAGUUCGCCCUGAAAGUUGACAAUCCGGACGUGAAGCGGUGUCUGAACGCGCUAGAGGAGCUAGGGACCCUACAGGUGACCUCACAGAUCCUCCAGAAGAACACAGAUGUGGUGGCCACGUUGAAGAAGGCCUCUUGCGGGCCAGAUCCGCCGUUACAAGGCCAACAAGGAGGUGAUGGAGAAGGCCGCGGAGGUCUAUACCCGGCUCAAGUCUCGGGUCCUGGGACCAAAGAUGGAGGCCAUCCAGAAGGCGACCAGAGCUGGGGUGGAGAAGGAGAGGGCCGAGCUGGAGAAGGCCGCGGAGGCGCUGGCCGGAGAAGAGGCUGCCACGGAGAGGGCAGAGGUCGAGGCGAGCGCUGAUCUCUCAGCCCCAGUGAAUGGCGAGGCCACGUCUCAGAAGGGGGAGAGCAUGGAAGACAAGGAGCAGGAGGAAGGACAGAAUUCCGAGGAGGGGCUGGGGUGUGGCUCCUCCGAAGAGCCGUUACACAACGACAGCGUGCGGGAGGGCCCCGAGCUGGAUGUGUCCGGGCAGGAGCGGCAGGAGCAUGCGAGGGUGCGGAUGGACUCGGAGUCCCUGGACGAGGAGGACAGCUGAGCCCCGGCGGCCAGGCCCACCCGGCACGCGUAGACGCCCCAGGCCUGCCCCGGCCCCCACCCGCCACCCGCCGAGCAGAGACCUGUUGGGGAAGCGCUGUGCUGUCCCUUUGUAUCUGUCCCCUGGGUUGUUUUUCUGCCUAACUUCUGUGAUUUCCAACCGACAUGAAAUGACUAUAAAGGGUUUUUUUAAUGAAAAUCA